CCCUUAGAUGUUCUGGGCUGCACGCGCGCUACACUGGCACACCCAGCGAGUCUCCUGCCCUGACAGGGUUGGGUAAUCAUUGGAGUGUGUGUCGUGAUGGGGAUAGAGUAUUGCAAUUAUUGCUCUCGAACGAGGAAUUCCUAGUAAGCACAAGUCAGCAGCUUGUGCUGAUUACGUCCCUGCCCUUUGUACACACCGCCCGUCGCUCCUACCGAGGGGGUGAUCCGGUGAAUGAUUCGGACUUUGGCGUUUCUAGCUGCUAGCAGCGCUGAAGAAAGUUUUGUGAACCUUAUCACUUGGAGGAAGGAGAAGUCGUAACA
rnacentral:rRNA from 1 species